rnacentral:lncRNA from 12 species
CUGGUAAACCUGCAAAAAUCCAUCCCACAGCCCCCACAGCAAACUGAAAGGUCCUCAAUCUUCUUCAGAUGUUGUCAAUGUACUG